UGGGGAAUAUUGGGCAAUGGGCGAAAGCCUGACCCAGCAACGCCGCGUGAGGGAAGAAGGCCUUCGGGUUGUAAACCUCUGUCCUUGGUGACGAAGAAAGUGACGGUAGCCAAGGAGGAAGCCCCGGCUAACUACGUGCCAGCAGCCGCGGUAAUACGUAGGGGGCGAGCGUUGUCCGGAAUUACUGGGCGUAAAGGGUGCGUAGGUGGCCUUUUAAGUUGGAUGUGAAAUACCCGGGCUUAACUUGGGGGGUGCAUCUAAUACUGGGAGGCUAGAGUGCAGGAGAGGGAAGCGGAAUUCCUAGUGUAGCGGUGAAAUGCGUAGAUAUUAGGAGGAACACCAGUGGCGAAGGCGGCUUUCUGGACUGUAACUGACACUGAGGCACGAAAGCGUGGGGAGCAAACAG
rnacentral:rRNA from 1 species